rnacentral:rRNA from 1 species
AACGAACGCUGGCGGCAUGCCUAACACAUGCAAGUCGAACGAGACCUUCGGGUCUAGUGGCGCACGGGUGCGUAACGCGUGGGAAUCUGCCCCUUGGUUCGGAAUAACUUCGGGAAACUGAAGCUAAUACCGGAUAAUGACGUAAGUCCAAAGAUUUAUCGCCAAGGGAUGAGCCCGCGUAGGAUUAGCUAGUUGGUGGGGUAAAGGCUCACCAAGGCGACGAUCCUUAGCUGGUCUGAGAGGAUGAUCAGCCACACUGGGACUGAGACACGGCCCAGACUCCUACGGGAGGCAGCAGUGGGGAAUAUUGGACAAUGGGCGAAAGCCUGAUCCAGCAAUGCCGCGUGAGUGAUGAAGGCCUUAGGGCUGUAAAGCUCUUUUACCCGGGAAGAUAAAUGACUGUACCGGGAGAAUAAGCCCCGGCUAACUCCGUGCCAGCAGCCGCGGU